rnacentral:lncRNA from 1 species
CCUUCUCUUGUAACUUACCUUUUAGCAAUGGCGGAAAUAGUACAUGAUUUUUUCCCAUUGAUGAGAGUUUACAAAGAUGGUCGAAUCGAAAGGCUGAUGGGCGAGGGUUUUGUCCCACCUGAAUUGGAUCCUGAAACUGGAGUACAAAUCAAAGACAUUGAAAUUGAUCCAGAAAUUAACCUAUCAGCAAGACUCUACCUGCCCAAAAAUGUCGACACCGUUCAGAAAAUUCCCCUUUUCGUCUACUUUCACGGCGGUGGCUUUGUGAUCGAAUCUGCUUCUUCACCUUCAUAUCACAAGCAUCUUAGCACGGUAGCAGCUGAAGCAAAAGUCGUCAUCGUUUCUGUUAACUACAGGUUAGCUCCUGAGUACCCGUUACCCAUAGCUUAUGAAGAUACAUGGUUAGCUCUGAAAUGGGUCGCUUCACAUGCUAAUGGUGAUGGCCAUGAGCCAUGGCUAAAAGACCAUGCCGAUUUCAAUCGGGUUUAUUUUGGGGGAGAUAGCGCGGGUGGUAACAUCGCACACCAUAUAGCAAUUCGGGUCGGGUUGGAAAAGUUGGAUGGUGUGAAACUUGAAGGGAUUUUCCUUGCCUGUCCAUUUUUCUGGGGGAAGGAUCCGAUUGACGGUGAGGGGGAAAACCUGGGUGCCAAGGAUUUCGUUGAGAAGCUAUGGUUGUUUGCGAAUCCGAAUAGCUCGGGAUUAGAUGACCCGUUGAUUAACCCGGAGAAGGAUCCGAAAUUGUCUAGCUUAGGAUGUGAUAAAGUACUUGUGUAUGUGGCUGGAAAAGAUCCGUUGAGAUUCAGGGGAUUUUACUACAAGGAGGUAUUGGAGAAGAAUGGGUGGCCGGGGACGGUGGAGGUUGUGGAAGUUAAAGAUGAAGAACAUGUGUUUCACCUGUUUGCUACAGAAGCUGAAAAUGCGAUGGGCAUGAUGAAAAAAUUGGUCUCUUUCCUUAAUCAGUCCUAGGACUUCUAAUCAUGGAAGUGAGUACUAUUUUUAUGAAUAAAAUGGAUGUAAUUGUUAAAGAUUUUCCCCUGUAAAUCUUUUUCUUAAUAUAUUUCUCAAUCUUCCGAGAAUGCGGUCUACUGAUUUUAUCGACUAUCAACGAAAUUUAUUAUAGAAUGAUAAGUAUUUAUUCAUCUAUACUCAUGAAGUAAAAGCAGGAGAGUUCAUUUUCACUAUCAUAGUCUAAUAAUCUGACUCUCCACUUAUGAAACAUCUUGCUCCACUGCUUCAAUUUGUUUAUUUCUAAGAAGAUAGAGCAAACUUCUUUUAAGUGAUGAAAACGAAUACCACCUAUAUACAUUUUUAUAUAUAUUUUUAUACCAAUUUAUAUGAUUUGCUUUUCUUUUUGGCAAAAGGGUCUAGUGGACCAUUCUACUUGUAUGAGUUUGUAUUCUAAACCCUUUUACUUAAUCAUUUGUCAACUGAACUCUUGAACUCUUCGAAACACUAUAUUUUAAACAUGUUUUCUAACUUGGCAUCCUAUGGGGCCGACACAACAAAGGGGUGUGUAAUACACACACCUGAGGAGCGUGAGAUCUGGUUAAAUGGGUCUAAUAGUCAUUAGGGUUUUAUAAAGCCAUCUUCUUCCCCAUAUGCUAGCCUCUUUUUCGAUCUUCUUUCUCCAAAUUUCUUCUCCAUUUUUUCCAUCCUUAUACUCCUCUUUUAUUUCUAUGCAUUUUCAUUUAAUUCUUUGCUUCAUUUUGUGGUUGAUCCUAUUGUAGUUUUCUACAUCAUCACGAAAGUUACUUUUGUUAGAAUCCUAUAAUAUAAUAGAAAUCAUGAAACAUGUAAUUGAAAGCAUAACAAACAAAAUCCUCAAAAAAUUUCAACAUAAUUAGUAUGAAAACCUAAAAAUUAAACAAAGACAUAAAUAGAAGAUGAAAUCUAGACUAAACAACAUACAAAUACGAAAAUAAGUUACAAAAUUUACAUAAAUAAAUUAAAAAUCGAACAAAACCAACAAAAAUACUCAAACAAUUUCAUGGGAAUGAAGAAAAAAAUGAGAAAGAAAAAAUGUGGGUAUAUAUAGCCACACACAGAUGUUGCGGUGAAACUCUCUUCUUCGACUUGGAUGAAAACAAAGACGGAUUGCCUUGAUUGAGCCAUGAUUUCUGCUACUGGUGAUUUUUCUUCCAUGAAAAGAGUAGAAGAGGUUGAAUUUUUUUUCUAAGAAAGAUGAAAGAGAAAUGAAAUGAGGGGAAAGUGGUGGGUUUGGUGGCAAAAGACAAAUAAAAAUCAGAAAUAUAUUAAUUAAAUAUAAUAAAAAUGUCAAGAUGACAUGAAGUGGUAUAUAUACACGUGUCAUUUAUAAUUAUUUUUAAAAUUACGUGUCAGGCGUUUGUGGUACACGCACAACUAAACGGUUAAAAAGUGUUUAAAAUAUUGAGUUUAAAUGGGUUCAGGGUCCAGACGACAAAUUGAUAAGUAAAAGGGUUCACAAUACAAACUCAUACAAAUAGAAGGGCCCACCAGCCCUUUUGCCUUCCUUUUUUAGUCAUUUUUAGAAAGAAUAAUAUAUUUCUAUAUUAAGUAGUAAUAAUUUAACUUUAAAAUAUCCAUUUUAAUUUUAAUGAAAUGAUUUAUAACAAUAUACAUUUCUAUCAUUCAUUUUACACUACAAGUUUUAAAAAUCCUUCUUUUUUAUUUUUUUAAAUUCGUACCGAGUCAAAGUAGCUUUCAUAAAAUGGGACAGAGUGAGUAAUAAGAAUUGGAAAACCAAUUUUAAAAAUUCCAAAGAUACACCGUAAACUUGGUGUUGUCGAUCUUUCUAGUUCCUCUCCAUUAAAAACUAAGCCAUAAAUAAAAUACUUUGCCUUGCCUUGGUUGUGACGUAUGGUCUACGCUCACUCCAAUCAGAUAUGAGUGUUCACACGUUUAGAUUGAAUAUGAAUUUUUUUUGAGUUUUACCUCAAAAGAAAUUGCAAUUCAAGCUCAAUUCAAGUAAGCUUGAAUUUGAUUGGAGUUUUUAGGUUUGAUAUAAAAUUAUUCAGUUAGUUAUUUUGAAUUUUUGUUUUUUAUGUUUUAAUCCUUUUAAAGGCAAGUAUAAUUGUGACAAUUAACAAGUUCAAUUCACUUAAUAAUUUAUUCUUUAGAAUGAAUUCCAUUUGUUUUUUAAAACAAAAGACUUAUUUUCAUUUUUAGUUUAUUUCAAAAAGAAUGAUUUUUAUUUUUUGUAAUACUUUAAUUUCAGUUUAUCAACUGACAUGUUUAAGAAUUCAAGAUUAAAAAUAUGUUGGUACAUUUGACAUAACUGUAAUUUAGGAUCACAAGAUUGAAAAAAUUUCUUCCUUUUCUUACCCUUCGUGUUAAGUCAAAUUAGAUUAUUCUUUUUUAAAUCGAUGGAGCAUAACUUUCUAGUGUUUACAAGAAUUGAGGUCUCGCUAACUCUCAUGUCGUGGAUUAAGUUUUACUUACUCAUAGACUAUUUUUCAUUUUUGUCUAGAUUCGUAAUUAAAAAAUAAAUCACUUGAUACUAAAAGUGAGAAUAGAAUUAUUUGAGAUCUAUCAAUGAAAUCAUAUAAUAUUAUUUGAUAGUAAAUACGAUAGAGUUACUUGGAACCUAGAAUACUUAUAGAGAUUAAACUUAUUACCAAUUAAGUUCUUGGUUUUAAGAGUAGAUCUCACAGCACUUGUGUAUAUUAACACCAACCUUCUCCUUGUAACUUAGCUUUUAGCAAUGGCGGAAAUAGUACACGAUCUUUUCCCACCGAUUAGAGUUUACAAAGAUUGUCGAAUCGAGAGGAGGCUGAUGGGUGAAGGUUUUGUCGCACCUGAAUCGGAUCCUGAAACUGGAGUACAAAUCAAAGACAUUGAAAUUGAUCCAGAAAUUAACCUAUCAGCAAGACACUACCUGCCCAAAAAUAUAGACCCAGUUCAGGAAAUUCCCCUUUUCGUCUACUUUCACGGCGGCGCCUUUGUAAUCGAAUCUGCUUCUUCACCUACCUAUCACAAGCAUCUAAGCAUGGUAGCAGCUGAAGCAAAAGUCGUCAUGACCAUUUAAAUCCUUUUAGACAUUAUUUCAAAAUUGACGUUGAGCAAUUACAACCUUCGCUAAUAUUUGAAAGAACUUAAGCAUCUGACUUAAAAUCUUAAAACAUGGUCUAAAAACACAUAGCGCCUGUUUGGAAGGACAAACAAGGACACUCUGCUAAUUAGAUUUGAUAUAAUUGAGUGUAAUUACACUGUCUGUCAUAUUUGGUUGGACAUGUAAUUACUUGGUCAGCCAUGUAAUUAGUGUAAUUGGCAGGGAUAAUUACACUUUACAAUUCACAGACAGAGGCUAUGAAUUACUGGUAAUUACACCAUGCAAAUUACUUUUAAAUUUCAUUUUCUUAUUUCUAUUUUUAUUUUUUUUGUUUUAAUUUUUUUUACUUCUGAUAUUUUAAGUUCUUUUUUUUUAUUAUUAUUAUAAAAGUUUACUUUUUAUUUUAUAUUAUUAUAUUUCAUUUUCUUUGUUUUCAACUUUACUUUACGUGAUUCUAUGCAAUUUUUCCGUAUUAUCUAUUUCUUUAUGUCAUGCUUACUUUCUUAUUAGCAUAAUUUUAUUAGUAUUCUAAUUUUUUUUAAUUAAAAUAUAAUUUAUUGUUAAGUAAGGUUAUAGACUUACGUUUUCUUUUUUAAGAAAAAUAAAUCAUAUUUAUGUAUGCUAUGUUUAAAUUUGCUAUAAGAGUAUUAUGUUAAAUGUUUCGUUUUGAAUUUAUAACUAAUGUUAUAUUUUCAGUUUCAUUUGUUUUAGUAAUAUUGAAUUCAAAUUGCACGUCAAUUUUUUAAUUAGACUUGAUAGAUUAUCUUUUUGUCAAACAUUUAAUAAUUUAUGACAUUUUAUUUAUAUAUUAAUCUUUAUAUCAGACAUGCAUUUCACGAUGUUCGUAGAAACUUCAUACUUUUAAUUUUUAUGAUCAAUUCAAUUGAAAUAUAUUAAUUUGAAAAAAUAUAAAUCAAUUAUUUUUUCAUAAUAUUAGUUAAAAAAUAUAUGUUUAUUAAUUAAUAUAUUUAAAUAUAUAUAUAUAUAUCUUAAAUAUUUAAUUUAAUGUCAUUUAUAAAGUUUCUUAUUUGUCUAGUAUAAAUUUUAAAUAAUUAAUUUUGAUUUUUAAAAUUUAAUAUAAUUUUAUAAUUGUAAUUGUGCAUCCAAACAGAACAUGUGUAAUUACACUGUGACAUCCAAACAGGACAUGUGUAAUUACAAUUAUACUGUUGCAACCAAACAAGUAAGUGUAAUUACUAGGCUGAUAAUUACUACCCUAAUAAUUACACCAUUUCCAAUAACAUGUGACUUUCCAAACAGACCCAUAUGAAAAUCUUCAUAACAUAUGAGAGACGGACAUAAUUAUUAGAUUACGAAAUAAUAAUAUUAAAUUAUGUUAAUUAUGGAUACUUAUCGGAGAAAGUGGUCAUAAUUUAUAUUAAGCCACUUUUUUCUAAUCUAGAAAAUGAUUAUUAUUCCUUGAAAUCGUCCAUCUAUAUUCUCAUACUCCCUCCGUUUCACAAAGAAUGACCUGGUUUGACAUGUCACAGAGUUUAAAUAAAUAAAAAAGACUUUUGAAUCUUGUGAUCCUAAAUUAAAGUUAUGCCAAAUGUACAAAAUUGCCCUUAAUCUUGUGGUCUUAAACAUGUCACGUGAAAAACAAAAAGUAAAAUGUUACCAAAAAAGGAAAGAGGUUAUUCUUUUUGAAACUGACUAAAAAGAAAAGGAGGUCAUUCUUUGUGAAACGGAGGGAGUAUGAGAAUAUAGAUGGACGAUUUCAAGGAAUAAUUUAUUUCACCAUCUUUUAAUUGGAUAUGAAAAAUGUUGUGGAGUGAAUGAAAAAGUGAAAUUAUUAUUUAAAAGAAAAAAAAAAUUUCAUUUAUUUAUUUUGAAAUGAAUAUUUUUUCUUUUUGCGGUGUUAAGGGACUCCAUAACUUAACAAGUAAUUGCCCAAAUAAAUGCAAAUGACCAUAAAAACUAUCAAAAUUAAAUUAGAGUAAACAUGUUGACGCCAAACUAGGAAAAAAAAGAUUUGGACAUUCAAUUCAAAAUGCAUAUAAUUAAAGAGCAGAUUUUAAAACAAAGCAAAUUUUUGGUUAUAAAAGUAACUGUCACAGCACUAGUCUAUAGUAUACCAACCUUCUCUUGCUUGCAACUUAGCUUUUAGCCAUGGCGGAAGUAGUACAUGAUUGAGAGUUUACAAAGAUGGUCAAAUCGAGAGGCUGGCGGGCGAAGUUUUUGUCCCACCUGAAUCUGAUCAUGAAACCGGAGUACAAAUCAAAGACGUUCAAAUUGAUCCAGAAAUCAACCUAUCAGCAAGACUUUACCUGCCCAAAAAUGUCGACCCGGUUCAGAAAAUUCCCCUUUUCGUCUACUUUCACGGCGGCGGCUUUGUAAUCGAAUCUGCUUUUUCACCUACAUAUCACAAAUAUCUUAGCCUGGUAGAAGCUGAAGCAAAAGUCGCCAUUGUCUCUGUUAACUACAGGUUAGCUCCUGAGUACCCGUUACCCAUAGCUUAUGAAGAUUCAUGGCUAGCUCUCAAAUGGGUCACUUCACAUGCCAAUGGUGAUGGUCGUGAACCAUGGCUAAAAGACAAUGCCGAUUUCAAUCGUGUCUAUUUGGGGGGAGAUAGCGCGGGUGGUAACAUCGCACACCAUAUAGCCAUUCGGGUCGGGUUGGAAAAGUUGGAGGGUGUGAAAAUUGAAGGGAUUUUCCUUGCCUGUCCAUCUUUCUGGGGGAAGGAUCCGAUUGACGGUGAGGGGGGAAAUCCUGGGUGCCAAGGAUUUCGUUGAGAAGCUAUGGUUGUUUGCGAAUCCGAAUAGCUCGGGGAUUAGAUGACCCGUUGAUUAACCCGGAAAAGGAUCCGAAGUUGUCUAGCUUAGGAUGUGAUAAAGUAGUUGUGUAUGUGGCCGGAAAAGAUUCGUUGAGAUUCAGGGGAUUUUACUACAAGGAGGUGUUGGAGAAGAGUGGGUGGCCGGGGAUGGUGGAGGUUGUGGAAGUUAAAGAUGAAGAACAUGUAUUUCAUCUGUCUGCUACAGAAGCUGAAAAUGCCAUGGCUAUGAUGAAAAAAUUGGUUUCUUUCCUUAAUCAGUCCUAGGACUUCUAAUCAUGGAAUUGGGUACUAUUUUUAUGAAUAAAAAAUGGAUGUAAUUGUUAAAGAUUUUCACGUGGUUCUUAAUAUAUUUCUCAAUCUUGGGGAAUGCGGCCUACUGAUUUUAUCGACUAUCAACAAGAUUAGAUUUAUUAUAGAGUGAUAAGUAUUUCUUCGUGUUUACUCAGAUUCUUAGGUAUAAAGUGCAUCAAGGUAUGCACGAGAGUUCUAACCAACAUACGUUUACGGAGCAUCUUGUUACACUGCUUCAACUUGUUAUUUCUAAGAUAGAACAAACUUCUGUAAGUGAUGAAAAGGACUACCACCAACAUACGUUUUUGUUUUAUAAAAAUAAUUGGAAAACCAAAUAUCACCGUAAACUUGCUGAUCUAUCUAGUUCUUUCUCCAUUUAAAACUAAGCCAUAAAUAAAACAAUUGACCUUCCCUUGGUCGAUGGUCUACGCUCACUAGAAUUGUUUGUUUAGUAUAUAAUGAUGUUGAAUAAUAGGGAAAAAUAUCAGAUGUGGGCCUUCUCACCGUUCAGAUUGAAUAUAAAAAUUUGAUUUGAGUUUUUAAAUUUUAACAUCGCUGAAAUUACAAUUCAAGUAAGGUUGAAUUGAUAGGAGUUCUUAGGUAAGAUUUAAAAUUAUUCAGUUUUGUUAUUUUGAAUUUUUUAUUUUAAUUUUUGAGUCUUUAAGGCAAGUAUGACACUUCACAAGGUCAUCAUUUGUUAGAAUGUAUACUUUUUACCGUUAACCAAGAUUGAGGUCACUCUUAACACUCGUGCGGUGGACUAAGGUUUACUUAUUCAUGGACUAUUUUUUCAUAUUUUAUCUAGAUUAGUACUAAAAAACAUAACAUGAUAUUGGAAAAAGGCAUAAAAUUUUCCCUGAACUUGGCACGAAAAUUUACUUUAGUACUUAAACUACACGAGUGUUUAUAUACCCCUUAACAUCUUUUAGGUGAUUAAAACACCCUCUAAGGGAUGAUGUGGCAGAGAGAGUGAGUGCACUCUCCUGAAAGUGCGUGAAAAAAGAGAAAACAAAAGCUGAAUUUUUAAAGCCCUACACAUGGCCUUUUUUUAUUGGCCAAUAUAUAACAAAUUAUUUAAAUAGUUUUUAAUAUAUAUUAAAUCUUUAAAAUAUGUAAAAAAAAUUAUUAAGAGGUAAAUGAAAUUAGUGGAUCCCCUUUUUAUUUUCUUUAAUUUUUUUUAUUUUUAUUUUGUUGUCUUCUUCAAUACACAUUUUUCUCCAUUGAAACAUCUCUUCCUCCAUCUUCUUCCCACCUCUAUCCACUAUUUUCAUUUCACUAAUCUUUUACUAAUCCAUAAAAUUCAAUAGCAAUGUCAUUUUAUUGACGUCUAUUUCACUCUAUUAUUUGUAUCGAUUUGGCAAAUGCAAACUUUCUUAAAUUUUGAGCGACCCAUUUUGAUUUCUAGAUCAUUCAAACAUUUCUCAUAAAAUUUAUAUUUUUUUGGAUCAACUUUCUUAUGCAAUCUUCAUUUCUUAUUUGAGUUGUCAAGAAAAAAUUGGCUUUCAAAAAAAUCCAUUCUCCAAGAGGGUAAACUCAUUGGGAGGAUUCGAAGAAGAAAAUGUGAAUUUCUUCUUUAAAGUGACUUAAAAAAUUGUUGAAUAGUGAAGAAAAAGAAAAGAAAGUAUUGAAGGUUGGAAUAAUGAUAGUGAACAACAAGGAAGAAGAAAAAGAGGGAAUGGGGUGAGGGUGGGGGUAUGCAUUUAUAAAUUAAUCAAUUGAUAUAAUUAAUUUUAAAAAGUGUUUAAGAAAAAAUAGUGAAUAAGUAAAAAGAAAUAAAGAUUAAUGAUAUGACGCCUACAUGGUUAUGAUGUGUCACUUAUGUGGCUAUGAUGUGGUGGGUGAGAGUGGUGUUAUAGUCUCAAGGUGGAAAAAAAUCACUUCAAAGAUCUUAAGGGGAUAUUUAAAUGCCCGUAUAAUUUAAGUACUAAAGUAAAUUAUCCGAUCAAAUUCAAGAGAAUUUUUUUGUAUUUUCCCUAUUAAAAGUGACAAAAGAAUUAAAGAAAUGUGUGGACAUACUGUGAGUCCCUGAAGAAAUGUGGAUGGAAAGAGGGGCGGAUCCACCCUAUGCCAUGGGGUGUCAUCCGACACGACUUGGUCAAAAAAAUUUAAUAUUAUAUAUAUAAAUCUGGAAAAAACCCAACACAGUAGUAAGAAUAAUAAAAAUGAUACUCCUUGCACAAUUGUGUUGCCUUGGCGCGUUUGUUUGACAUGUGGCUGGAGUGUAUUAAUUCUCUCAACUGGCCAGGUUCAAGUCUCUUUAAGGGCAUCUCCCACCUUACACUCUAUUUUACCCUUUAAAUAUAGAAUUUUCUAUUUUUUCAGAUAAUCAAUUUCAAGUCAAUUCUCUAUUUUACUAUCUAAAAAGAAAUUUUUUUCUUUUUUCUUAAUAUUAUAUUAUUAUUUCUAUUUCAUUCUUAUUUUCUUACUUCAUAGUAUAAAUUCUUUAUUUCUUUUUCCCAAUAAUUACUUUAUAUAAUUUUCAUGUGAUAUAAAAAUUUAUUUUUUUAUUUAAUAUAAAAUUUUAUUUUAUUUUAAAUUUUAAAUAAUAUAAAUUGCAAGAAAAUAUUAUAUAAUAUACAAAUUCAAAUAAAAGUGAAAUACAAUUACAUAAACACUCAAUUUUCAAAAUUAUUACGUUGCUCCCAUAAAUUUUCUAUUAAUGCAUUACGGAGUUCAAAAUGAGCAUUUUUGUCCUUGUUUUUUUAUGUCUAGCUAGAAGUUGUUUAAAUCGGAAAUUUUCAUCUAUCACCAGUUAUGUCGUUGGAGUUGGAGCCUCUACGACAUCUUGAAUUGGUGCAUUAAGAUCACGUUGAUCCUCAAUUAUCAUGUUGUGCAGUAUAAUGCAAUGUAGUCAUUAAAUCAUGUAGCACUUUCUUUCUCCAAAAAUGUGACGGUCCUGCAAAAAUUGCAAAACGUGAUUGUAAAACUCUGAAUGCACGUUCAACAUCUUUUCGGCAUGAUUCUUGUUUCAUCGCGAAUUAAUUAUUAUGUUAUGUAUUGUAUUUUAUCUUGCAUUUUAAAUUAUUAUCUUAUGUAUUGUAUUGUUAUCUUGUAUUUUAAUUAUCAUAUUAUGUGUUGUAUUUUUAAAUUAAAAUUUUCAUCUUAUCAUUUUAAUUUUGUGUAUUCUUUAUAGUGAAAAUUAAUAAUAAAAUUAUAUUAUAUUAUCGACGAAAAUUAAAAAAUAUGAAAUACUAUUAAUUCGGGAUGAUAAUAGUUUAUAUUAAAUAAUAUAUUUUUUAAAAUAUUAUAUUACAUUCACCUCUCUAAAUAUGAAGAAUAGAGGGUGAUAUAGAGUUGGAUUGGAGUGUCCAUUCUAUAUUUUACUCUCCAAAUAUAGGGAAUGGAGAGUAAAAUAGAGAUGGGUUGAAGAUGGUCUAAGAGCUAUAUUUUUUUUGGCUUUUUCAGUAAUAAACAUUUUUUUAUUAAUAUAGUGUUAUUAUAUCAACUAUUUAUUAUUAAAUAUUGACACCACAUAUAGAAAAUCCUGCAUACACCACUCAGAAAGGUGAUGGCGGAAUUUAAAGAAACAGAAGGGGAAGAACACGUUUUUCAUUUGGUUAAGCCAACUUGUGAGAGCGCUAAGGCCCUGAUGAAAUGGCUGGCCGAUUUCUUUCAACAAUCAAGCUGAAUUCUUAGUUGUGUAGAAUUUCUCUACUAUUUCAGCUGUUUCUCUUUUCUUUUUAUUGAUCAAAUAAUUAGCCGUUUGGACUUGAAUUUGAAAUUAUUGAUUUAAGAUAGAGAUUGAUUUGAACUUGAAAUAUUGUUUGGACUUGCCAUUGUGACACGAGAAAUCAUUUUCACUAUUAUAGUCAUUAACUAGACUCUCCAUCUAUGGAACACUUUUUUUUUGCUUAGAAGGAUGCACUUAUUUUGUAUGUCUUGAAAAUUCAUUAAAUAUACCUUUAAAAAAAAUUAUUUAGUUUAGGACUCACCCAAUAACUUGAAAAAAUUAAAUAAUUUUCAACUCAUAAGCUUUAAAUCUCGACUCCACUAUACCUCCAAAAGAAAUUCUCUCUGGACAAUAGAACUGGUAGUGGUCAUUACGUAUGGACUCCGCUCACUUGAAUUGUUUGUAUUUUAUAUAUUAAUGAGGACAAAAGAAGUAUAUGUCCUCUAGAAACAUCAUUAUACAUGCCGAGUUAAAAUAGAAUGACGUCUUUAUAUUUUAUAAAAGAUAAUUCUAUUAAUUAUAGUAUACUUUUUUUAAAUAUUCAAAUUUUAUUUUAAUAAAAGAUCUAAUCAACAUUGAGUAGGGGUAUCAAACGGGCAGUUUGGGUUGAAAUUGAAUAUAUUAAAAUGGAUUAAGGUUUGAAUGAAUUAAGAUUGAACCCAAUACAAAUUAUCUUGAGUCUAAUCCUUAAAACUCAUGACAGAUUGGGUGAGUUAGCUAUAGUUGGGUUCAUUUUUGACAUCCAUAAUGUUGAGUGGAAACGAAAGAGGAGAUUAUUUGUGUCGCAUUCAUCAUUUGCUCAAUCAAAUCAUACAAUUAUUCAAUAGCAAAUAUGAUAUACUUGCUUCGAUCCUAGAAUACUGAUUUAUUGGACCUUUGAAAAUUAUUUAAAAAUUCAAAGCAAAAUAUUUAAAAAGUUGGUUAGACUAUAACCAUCCUACACACAAAUGUUUAUACAAAGAAAGAAAGCGUGAAAUAAUUCUUCUUACUUUUGGCAAUCAAAUAAGAAUUUUAAACAAACUUCUAUAAUUAAUUUAGAGUUCAAAAUACAAUAUAAUACUUUUUUUGUUAUUUUUAUUUAAAUAUAAAUAAUAUGUGGAUAUAUUAUAAGAAAUAAGUAUUUCUAAAAAUGAAUGGACGGCGUAAUUUUCUUAUCAAUCAGUGAAUAGAAGUUAAUCUUAUUUAUAGAAAGUUUGUUGAAGAUUCUUAUUUGAUUGCCACAAAUUAUUGCUUUUAAAAGUAGCAUUCACAGCACUUGUGUAUUACUACACACACCAACCUUCUCUUGCAACUUAGCUUUUAGCAAUGGAGGAAAUAGUGCAUGAUUUUUUCCCAUUCAUGAGAGUUUACAAAGAUGGUCGAAUCGUAAGGCUGAUGGGCGAAGGUUUUGUGCCACCUGAAUCUGAUCCUGAAACUGGAGUACAAAUCAAAGACGUUGAAAUUGAUCCACAAAUUAACCUAUCAGCAAGACUCUACCUGCCCAAAAAUGUCGACUCUGUUCAGAAAAUUCCCCUUUUUGUCUACUUUCACGGCGGUGGUUUUGUGAUCGAAUCUGCUUCUUCACCUUCAUAUCACAAGCAUAUAAGCAAGGUAGCAGCUGAAGCAAAAGUAGUUAUUGUUUCUGUUAACUACAGGUUAGCUCCUGAGUACCUUUUACCCAUAGCUUAUGAAGAUUCCUGGCUAGCUCUCAAAUGGGUUGCUUCACAUAUUGCCAAUGGUGAUGGUGAUGAGCCAUGGCUAAAAGACCAUGCCGAUUUCAAUCGCGUCUAUUUAGGGGGAGAUAGCGCGGGUGGUAACAUCGCACACCAUAUAGCUAUUCGGGUCGGGUUGGAAAAGUUGGAUGGUAUGAAACUUGAAGGGAUUUUCCUUGCCUGUCCAUUUUUCUGGGGGAAGGAUCCUAUUGACGGUGAGGGAGAAAACUUAGGUUCCAAGGAUGUCAUUGAGAAGCUAUGGUUGUUUGUGAAUCCCAACAGCUCGGGAUUAGAUGACCCGUUGAUUAACCCGGAAAAGGAUCCGAAGUUGUGUAGCUUAGGAUGUGAUAAAGUACUUGUGUAUGUUGCCGGAAAAGAUACAUUGAGAUUCAGGGGAUUUUACUAUAAGGAGGUGUUGGAGAAGAGUGGGUGGCCGGGAACGGUGGAGAUUGUGGAGGUUAAAGAUGAGGCACAUGUGUUUUACCUGUCUGCUACAGAAGCUGAAAAUGCCAUGGCAAUGAUAAAAAAAUUGGCCUCUUUCCUUAAUCAGUCCUAGGCCUAUUCAUGGUAUUGACUACUAUUUUUAUGAAUAAAAAAUGGAUGUAAUUGUUAAAGAUUUUCUCAUGGUUCUUAAUAUAUUUCUCAAUCUUCGGAGACUGCGGCGGCCUACUGUUUUUGUUGACUAAAUGUAAGUUAGGUAGGAGAGUUCAUUUUCACUAUCAUAGUUCAUUAAUCAGACUCUCUAUUUAUGGCGCAUCUUGCUCCACUGCUUCAACUUGUUAUUUAUAAGAUAGAACAAACUUCUUUAAGUGAUGAAAAGGAACACCACCAACAUACGUUUUUUGUUUUUAUAAAAUACAAUAAUAAUCGGAAUACCAAUUUGGUGUAAACUCGCUGUUAUCGAUCUUUCUGGUAAGCUCCAUUUAAAACUAAGCCAUACAUAAAAUAAAUGGCCUUGCCUUGGUCGUGAGUAUGGGCUACGCUCACUAGCAUUGUUUUGUUUGUACAUAUGGUGAUGAAUUAUAGAUCUUAGAGGGAAAAAUUAUCAGAUGUGGGCAUUUACACCGUUCAAAUUGAAUAUGAAUUUGAGUUUUUUAUUUUAUAUUGAAGAAAUUACCGUUCAAAUUCAAUUUAAACUUGCAUUUGAUUGGAGUUUUAAGGUUUGAUUUAAAAUUAAUCAAUUUUGAUAUUUUGAAUUUCAAUUUUUGAGCCUUUAAGACAAGUAUUACAAUUACGAAGCUCAAUUCACUCAAUAGUUUGUUCUUUCGAAUGUACUAUAACUUUUUACGGUUUACAAGGAUUGAGGUCACUGUGACACUCAAGCCAUGGAUUAAGUUUUACUUACUCAUAGACUAUUUUUUCACUUUUAUCUUGAUUAGCAACAUGAUAUUAAAAGUGACAAUAGAAUUAUUUGAUUUUAAUCAAUGAAAUCAUUUACAUUAUUAUUCAAUAGAAAAUAUGAUAUACUUUCUUUGGAACAUAGAAUACUAAACUAUUGGACUUUUAAAAAUAAAACUUAUUACCAAGUUCUUGGUUUUAAAAGUAGAUCUCACAGCACUUGUGCAUAGUAACACCAACCUUUUCUGGUAACUUAGCUUUCAGCAAUGGCGGAAAUUAUACAUGAUCUUUUCCCACUGAUUAGAGUUUACAAAGAUGGUCGAAUCGAGAGGCUGAUGGGUGAAGGUUUUGUCCCACCUGAAUCGGAUCCUGAAACCGGAGUACAAAUCAAAGACAUUGAAAUCGAUCCACAAAUUAACCUAUCAGCAAGACUUUACCUGCCCAAAAAUAUAGACCCAAUUCAGAAAAUUCCCCUUUUCGUCUACUUUCACGGCGGCGCCUUUGUAAUCGAAUCUGCUACUUCGCCGACAUAUCACAAACAUCUAAGCAUGGUAGCAGCUGA